UUUCCCCCCUCCCCAUCCUCCCCCAGGACUGUUCCUGCUCUCUGUGGAUGUUCCCAGCUCCUUCUGUGACUGUGGCUGGGGCAGCAGGUUGUAAGUGGGGGGCUCUUGUUGUUGAUACAGAUGCCGGUGACCUUCGAGGAGGUGGCUGUGUAUUUCACCCAGGGGGAAUGGGCCUUGCUGGACCUGGGUCAGAGAGCCCUCUACAGGGACGUCAUGCAGGAGAAUUACAGGAAUGUGACCUCGCUGGGUUUUCCAGUUCCCAAGUCCAGCGUGAUCUCCCAGCUGGACCGAGGGGAAGAGCCGUGGGUCCUUGAUCUCCAGGGGUCCCAGGCUAGAGAGAUCCAGAGAAACAUCCCCAGAGGUCAGGAUUGUGCCCAGAAGGUGUCAUGUCUUCGUGGCAGACAUAAUUCAGGGCUUUCCAAGCGCCAUGACUGACAUCUAGCAGGAGCUCCCUGCCCCCUGAGUGUUCAGACGGGAUAUGGAGGCAGAAUUGGCUGUUCUCCUUCCAGGGACUGACUCCUGUCCGGAUUCUCUCUGUCCCAGCAGGUGAUGAGACGCUGAGUGAGAGCAAUGAAGAGAAUCCUUGUCCCGCAGGUCCUGAGCGAAUGGAACCAAAGGGGGCGUUGCUGGGAAGGUGUGAAGUGGAUGAUCCCCAGAGUCAUGGGCAGGCCAGAGAAGCAGGAGGGAAACCCCCCCGGGAAGACACUGGGUGAAUCCACUCACCGAGGGGGAGGUUCAGAGGAUCCCAAUGCGGCCACAAUCCAGGCGAGAACCUGCACUAAGGAGAAGCAGUUUGAAUGUGCCGAGUGCAGGAAAUGCUUCAGUUGUAAAGGACACCUUGUUAGACAUCUGAGAGUCCACACAGGAGAGACCCCCUAUCACUGCCCUGAGUGUGGGAAACAAUUCAAUGACCAAUCAAUCCUUAUUAGACAUCAGCGAACCCACACAGGAGAGAGACCCCAUAAGUGCCCUGAUUGCGGGAAAUGCUUCAAUCAGAGGUCAGACCUUAUUGUACAUCAGACUGUUCACACGGGAGAGAAAUGCCAUAAAUGCCCUGACUGUGGACAAACCUUCAAUCAGCGUGGGCAUGUGACUAGACAUCGGAGGACUCACACGGGCGAGAGACCCUACGGAUGCCCCGAGUGUGGGAAAAGGUUUGCUUCCACCUCCGAAAUUAUUAUACAUCACAGAGUCCACACAGGAGAGAAACCCUAUAGCUGCCCCGACUGUGGGGAGAGCUUCAAAAGUCAAUCUGGCUUCAAUGUCGAUCGGAGAAGGCACACGGGAGAGUGCCCCUAGCAAUGUUCCGUCUAUGGGGAAAGGUACAAGUCCAGGACCUCUCUAACACGCCACAUGAAACACCACACCGACUAGUACUGGCCACUUCCCCGCCUCCUCUCUCUGCAUCCGUAGAGAUGGGGGGAAUCAUGGGGAUCAUAAACAAUUGCCCAACGCCCUAGGGAGCCAAGUGGCUCCACUAUUGACGUGAGUGCUGUGUGUCUCAAUAAGAUGGAGGCACCAGGCGAGUGACAUUAUUAUUACUGUAUUGCAUUAUUCUCUGACCCUCUCCCAUCCCUUCCCGGUGCUCUCUGUCAGGGGCAGGCCGAAGGGUUCAGCUGGGUGUCCUGGUCCCUGUUUUCAGCCAGGGGCUCGGUUCACAUUAUUGCACACUGGGAUUAUUUCGGAAAUUGCUGCCCCGGGAGGCAUUUUCUCCCUGUUUCAGCAUGGGGCGGCGGGGAGCGGAGGGGUCUGAAAUUUCUGGGAAGUCGGGUGUCUGUGGAGUCUUUAUUGCUCAUUGAAUGAUUUUCUCAGUAUUGUUCAGUUAUUUGUUCCCCCCAAAUAAGAUGCAAAUAAAACUUUUCUGGCAAAUCCC